rnacentral:rRNA from 1 species
UACGUAGGGUGCAAGCGUUGUCCGGAAUUAUUGGGCGUAAAGAGCUCGUAGGCGGUUCGUCGCGUCGGCUGUGAAAACCUGAGGCUCAACCUCAGGCCUGCAGUCGAUACGGGCGGACUUGAGUACUGCAGGGGAGACUGGAAUUCCUGGUGUAGCGGUGAAAUGCGCAGAUAUCAGGAGGAACACCGGUGGCGAAGGCGGGUCUCUGGGCAGUAACUGACGCUGGAGGAGCGAAAGCGUUGGGGAGCGAACAGG